CCCUGCUUUUGUGGGGUGCUCGAGUGGCGAACGGGUGAGUAACACGUGAGUAACCUGCCCUUGACUUUGGGAUAACUUCAGGAAACUGGGGCUAAUACCGGAUAGGAGCUCCUGCUGCAUGGUGGGGGUUGGAAAGUUUCGGCGGUUGGGGAUGGACUCGCGGCUUAUCAGCUUGUUGGUGGGGUAGUGGCUUACCAAGGCUUUGACGGGUAGCCGGCCUGAGAGGGUGACCGGCCACAUUGGGACUGAGAUACGGCCCAGACUCCUACGGGAGGCAGCAGUGGGGAAUAUUGCACAAUGGGCGGAAGCCUGAUGCAGCAACGCCGCGUGCGGGAUGACGGCCUUCGGGUUGUAAACCGCUUUUGCCUGUGACGAAGCGUGAGUGACGGUAAUGGGUAAAGAAGCACCGGCUAACUACGUGCCAGCAGCCGCGGUGAUACGUAGGGUGCGAGCGUUGUCCGGAUUUAUUGGGCGUAAAGGGCUCGUAGGUGGUUGAUCGCGUCGGAAGUGUAAUCUUGGGGCUUAACCCUGAGCGUGCUUUCGAUACGGGUUGACUUGAGGAAGGUAGGGGAGAAUGGAAUUCCUGGUGGAGCGGUGGAAUGCGCAGAUAUCAGGAGGAACACCAGUGGCGAAGGCGGUUCUCUGGGCCUUUCCUGACGCUGAGGAGCGAAAGCGUGGGGAGCGAACAGGCUUAGAUACCCUGGUAGUCCACGCUGUAAACGGUGGGUACUAGGUGUGGGGUCCAUUCCACGGGUUCCGUGCCGUAGCUAACGCUUUAAGUACCCCGCCUGGGGAGUACGGCCGCAAGGCUAAAACUCAAAGGAAUUGACGGGGCCCCGCACAAGCGGCGGAGCAUGCGGAUUAAUUCGAUGCAACGCGUAGAACCUUACCUGGGUUUGACAUGGAUCGGGAGUGCUCAGAGAUGGGUGUGCCUCUUUUGGGGUCGGUUCACAGGUGGUGCACGGCUGUCGUCAGCUCGUGUCGUGAGAUGUUGGGUUAAGUCCCGCAACGAGCGCAACCCUUGUUCACUGUUGCCAGCACGUUAUGGUGGGGACUCAGUGGAGACCGCCGGGGUCAAC
rnacentral:rRNA from 1 species